GAAACUGCUGACGCUACCUUUCCCAGAAACUGCAGCAAUUGCGAGUACAUGAUCACAGCAAAUAUAGAAAGAAUAAAAGCGGUAACUUGUUUUCUAUGAUAACGAUGCUGACUAUAUUAUACCUACUUGCUUUGUGCACCAUCUUGCUCAAUGUAGAUGGAAAACAGACGUGUCUUGCACCCAAAGAGAAAAAUAUUUUGAAAACCAUUAGAAACAGUAUGCAAAAACUCAAUUCUCAGAUCAUUGGAUUAGAAGAAAGCUUAAAACUCAGCACAGUCGGAGAAACGGGUGGUUGUCAGAAAGGAUGGACGAGAUAUAGAAAUCACUGCUACUUCUUUGGUUUAAAUAAACUUGACUGGUUUGAGGCACAG